rnacentral:rRNA from 1 species
UAAACAAUGCAAGUCGAAACGGUAGCACAGAGAGCUUGCUCUCGGGUGACGAGUGGCGGACGGGUGAGUAAUGUCUGGGAAACUGCCUGAUGGAGGGGGAUAACUACUGGAAACGGUAGCUAAUACCGCAUAACGUCUUCGGACCAAAGAGGGGGACCUUCGGGCCUCUUGCCAUCGGAUGUGCCCAGAUGGGAUUAGCUAGUAGGUGGGGUAACGGCUCACCUAGGCGACGAUCCCUAGCUGGUCUGAGAGGAUGACCAGCCACACUGGAACUGAGACACGGUCCAGACUCCUACGGGAGGCAGCAGUGGGGAAUAUUGCACAAUGGGCGCAAGCCUGAUGCAGCCAUGCCGCGUGUAUGAAGAAGGCCUUCGGGUUGUAAAGUACUUUCAGCGGGGAGGAAGGGAGUGAGGUUAAUAACCUCAUUCAUUGACGUUACCCGCAGAAGAAGCACCGGCUAACUCCGUGCCAGCAGCCGCGGUAAUACGGAGGGUGCAAGCGUUAAUCGGAAUUACUGGGCGUAAAGCGCACGCAGGCGGUCUGUCAAGUCGGAUGUGAAAUCCCCGGGCUCAACCCGGGAACUGCAUUCGAAACUGGCAGACUCGAGUCUUGUAGAGGGGGGUAGAAUUCCAGGUGUAGCGGUGAAAUGCGUAGAGAUCUGGAGGAAUACCGGUGGCGAAGGCGGCCCCCUGGACAAAGACUGACGCUCAGGUGCGAAAGCGUGGGGAGCAAACAGGAUAAACCC